rnacentral:misc_RNA from 1 species
GUGAAUCAUCGAAUCUUUGAACGCAAAUUGCACUUUCCAGUAUUCUGGAAAGUAUGCCUGGUUGAGGGUCAUUUAAAUAACAUUCGCGAAUUUUUUUUUCGCGGUUUUGAGUUUUCCGGUGUUAUAAAUGCUGGUGACUUUAAAAUGAUUUAUUUCUUGGUACAAGUCGAGACGUUCUAUUCUAAUGUGGUUCGUUGAAAACUUUACCUCAAUACGUAUUAUGCUUUGCGCGCGCGUGAUUUCGUGUCGUGUCUAGCAUAUACUUUUUUUUAAUGACCUCAGCUCAAGCAAGGAUACCCG